rnacentral:lncRNA from 1 species
UUGUGAAACAUUGUUUAAAGAUAUCAUAUAUAUCACAUGAUAUCAAAAAAUGAGAGCAAUUUGACAAUUAUUUUAAUAAUUGUCAGCCCCUCCUGGCCUCUGCUCUUUUGAAGAGGCAACCUGAGCUAAGAAAGGAAGCAAUUGGGAUUCCUGCUUUGGCUCCGUGUCCCAUCCCCAGCAGUACGAGACAAAAAAAAUAAAAAUUAAAUUAAAAAGGAAGGAAGGAGACAAUCCUCUAGGACAGCAAGUGUGCGGGGGAUAUAAAAUGGGCACCUUGUGCUUAAUGUAGAUGUUGUACAUUCUACUAUUAGGGAGUCCUAGGCAGAGACCUGACUCUGGUGAUCCCACAGGUCAGGUCAGCUGUUUACUCCAAAACCAAGCAGAAAAGGUCAUGAUGAAAAGCAGGAAAGGGACGGUGAUCAGUGCAGCUACAACAGAAAGACAAGGGAACCAUGUCCUUAGACCUGGUUUCAGGGGUGACAAGGACUUUGAGGUUUUAUACAAAGGGUGAUCAUAGGCAUGUAUGUGUACAUGGGGUUUGGUAUUAUCUGUGGUGUCAGGCAUUGAUGGGUCUCAUAACAUGUCUGUGAGCUCAUGCUCACUCCCCCUUCACACACAUUACUCCAUUGCACAGGUCGAUUUCACCCAGGCAGACCUUGUCUCAAAAUAAAAAAUAAAAAGGCCUGGGGAUGUACUUAAUGGUUUAUCACCUCUGGGUUCAAUCCCCAGAGUUUAAUGAAUUGAUGUAAACUUUAAAAUCCCUCAGUGUGCUGAUUUCCAGGGUUAUGACCUUAAUUGGGAUAAUGCUUUUCUCUGGGUCUGAGUCUCCUCCAUGUUUGAGGUAUGGAAGGAAGCGGGGAGACACACACCUUCAGACCUCUCUAUGUGCUGGACACCAGAGCUUUCUUGUUCCAUCUCCAAAAUUAUAACCUGAGGUUGUUAGGACUGAGCAGAGGGUCAAACUGUUUGCUCAUUGUUCUUGGGGUGACUGUGUGUAAUGUUUUAAAAGUAUAUUACUUAUAAACUUUACAAGAAACACUCAGGAUUCUAUACUUGCUUCGCUUACCUGUGUUAGGAUCUGUCAAAUGAGGAUUUUUUUUAACUACAUAAUUGAGCAACGUGCCUUAAAGGAUGAUUAAGAGACACACUGAUUUAGACAUACCUUGUAGCCACAGAAUCAAUAUUCUGCAAGUUAUAAUGUAACUAAAGGGUGGUGUUUCAUGUAAUUCUGGGGCAUGAAAAUAAACCCAAUCUACAAUGAAGAAACUUGUUGGUCAUCAAUGAAAAACAGACCAUCAGGGCAAACUCCAAUGUCUCAGAUUAUAAAAUCUUCAAAUCCAAGAUGCAGGAAACUGAAAGUAAAUAUUCUUAUCAAUUACCAGACAACAGAAAAGUUUUCAGUUUUGCAAAAAAGGUAAUAAUUAUUUCAGUAAUUAUCAUCAAAAACAUUAUGACACUGAAUCAUAAUUACAUGGCAGUAAAUGUAACUGUCAACACAGGUCUCCCUUCAAAAUGACUGGCCAGUGGAAUCAUAAACUUAAAGCAGACAGUGUGUCUAGCACUUGGCACUGCCAGGACUGCUGGCUCCUGUCCUCUGAAAUUUAACCUGGACUAAACAAAGGAGAAAGUACCCUAGUUUCUGGGGUAUGCAUGGUAAAUACUAAUGUAUAUAGUGAUCUAGUCAGAUUUUAUUAGUUUGGUCUAUAUUAUUAAUUUUUUCCUAAGGCUAUUAUUUUGUUCAAUUAAUCAGAAUAUCUGCUUAGAGCCUACUAUUCUAUAGACCUUUAGCCAAAAAAAGGGCAGAGACACAGGAUUCAAUGGGUCCCACCCUGUUCCUCAGGAGCACCUUACUCUGCUUAUGUACCCAGGCCUCAGGGGUAUCCCUAGAGUGCUUGGGAUCCUUUAAUAAACCCAGGGUCACCCCAGCUUUCCUUAUUGCCCACUGCCCAGUCUCUGCCCUGGGGUCCUCCUCUCAGCUCUCUGCUCAACCAGAGCCUCCCAUGUGAGCUCCAGAAGGGGACCUGACCCCAUGCCACACCCACUGGCCUCUCACCUGGUCCAGAGCAGAGUCUGAGUCCUCCCCUCCCUACACACUUGCCCUGUGGCCUGAGCUUCCAGAGCCCUCUUGUCUCUGCUGCUGCCCUAAUGACCCAGGCAGGCUCCCUCCAGGGCUGAUCCUACUCCUCAGUCUGUGCAGAGUGGUCCAGAGCCUGAGGGUUCCCACAGCAGCACCUCCUUGGAGUGGUGCUCAGUGCUGCUGCCCUCUGUCCUUCCUCCCUGCUUUAUUUCUCUUUCCCAUAUAAUGGCUGUGUAACCACAGAACAUGUUUGAGCUGCUGCUGUAUUUUCUGUGUCACCCACUAAAUAUUAACUCCAAACUGUGGAAUCUUGUGUAUUUUAACCACUAAAGCAAGUCGAUACCCAGCAGCACUGCCACAAAAUGGAACGAGUGAGCACAAGACUUGGGGCUGAAUGUAUCACAAAGAUGGUGGUCUA